rnacentral:rRNA from 1 species
CAGUCGCCACGGUAAUGCGUAGGGGGCAAGCGUUGUCCGGAAUCAUUGGGCGUAAAGCGCGUGUAGGCGGCUCGAUAAGUCUGCUGUGAAAGUCCAGGGCUCAACCCUGGAAUGCCGGUGGAAACUGUCGAGCUCGAGUCCGGAAGAGGUGAGUGGAAUUCCGAGUGUAGAGGUGAAAUUCGUAGAUAUUCGGAGGAACACCAGUGGCGAAGGCGGCUCACUGGUCCAUUACUGACGCUGAGGUGCGAAAGCGUGGGGAGCAAACAGGAUUAGAGACCCCAGUAGUCCCUGUCUCUUAUAC